CCUUUCGGGGGUACUCGAGCGGCGAACGGGUGAGUAACACGUGAGUAAUCUGCCCUUGGCUUCGGGAUAGCCACCGGAAACGGUGAUUAAUACCGGAUACGACACAUCACUGCAUGGUGCGUGUGUGGAAAGUUUUUUCGGCCAGGGAUGUGCUCGCGGCCUAUCAGCUUGUUGGUGGGGUAAUGGCCUACCAAGGCUUCGACGGGUAGCCGGCCUGAGAGGGUGACCGGCCACACUGGGACUGAGACACGGCCCAGACUCCUACGGGAGGCAGCAGUGGGGAAUAUUGGACAAUGGGCGGAAGCCUGAUCCAGCAACGCCGCGUGAGGGAUGACGGCCUUCGGGUUGUAAACCUCUUUCAGCACAGACGAAGCGCAAGUGACGGUAUGUGCAGAAGAAGGACCGGCCAACUACGUGCCAGCAGCCGCGGUAAUACGUAGGGUCCGAGCGUUGUCCGGAAUUAUUGGGCGUAAAGGGCUCGUAGGCGGUUUGUCGCGUCGGGAGUGAAAACACCGGGCUUAACUCGGUGCUUGCUUUCGAUACGGGCAGACUAGAGGUAUUCAGGGGAGAACGGAAUUCCUGGUGUAGCGGUGAAAUGCGCAGAUAUCAGGAGGAACACCGGUGGCGAAGGCGGUUCUCUGGGAAUAUCCUGACGCUGAGGAGCGAAGUGUGGGGAGCGAA
rnacentral:rRNA from 1 species